AGAAAGGACCUCGCAUCUCUAGUCAUGUUGGUUUUAUGGAAGAUUUCGAAUGAGCGGAAUGCAAGAGUGUCUAGGAAGGUGUCCUCCAUGCCAAAUGUAAUCACGUCUAGAAUCAAGGUGGUGGUCAGACUUUGGGGAUUGGCAGGGGCCAAACGUUUGAGUUCUCUUAUGCCGCGGGAGUAG
rnacentral:rRNA from 1 species